rnacentral:tRNA from 1 species
GCCUAGGUGGCUCAGUUGGUUAAGUGUCUGACUUCGGCUCAGGUCAUGAUCUCACGGUUCGUGGGUUCGGGCCCCACAUGAGGCU